CCCCACCAUCAUUUGCUUUCGGAUCCCAGCAUCUCCUCAAACAUCCCUCUUGUUUCUUGGUCUUGAUUCGUGAUUCAGAAAGAAGGUUCUGCCAAAUCAAGAGGGGUAUUCUGAUCAUAGUGUGUGUGUGCAACAAUGGCUAUGGCUAAGUUCCUUGCAGCUAUGAUCUUGGCACUCAUUGCCAUUUCCAUGCUUCAAACCGUGGUUGGUCUUUAACAAUGUCUAAGAACCAGACACAUUUAAUGUUUUUCAUGUUUUGGUACCACUAGCGUACUAGUGUUGAGAGAUUGAAGGCUUCUUACACUUUUAAUGGCUUUAUUUUUCAGGUUAUGGCUGCAAAUGGGCAUGGAGACCACCUGAAUGAUAACAAGGUAUGCUGCAUCUCUUUCUCUCUGGUUUUGUGAAGAAUGAAAAAUGGGGUCUAGGGAUUUUGCUUUCUAAGGGGUGAAUCAGUGCUGAUUUAUGCUGUUUGUUUCUGCAGAGCAAAUAUGGAAGUGGGAGUCUCAAGAGUUACCGUAAGUAAACUUCAUUUCUUCAACUUGUCUUUUUAUGGCAUCAAGCAAUGUAUAUAUGUCAACAGAUUUCUCCAACUCCAAACUUUGCAUAUAAAAAAUGGUGGCGACACUGAGAAUGGAAGAAGGAAAAUUUUUAAGAACAUUCCCAAAAAGCUCUCAGUGCAGAUCUUGGAUUGUUAUUUUCCUAUUAUUUUUUUCAUUUAAGCCAAAUUAUGCUCACAUGAUUCUCUACCUCUCUUUUCAAUGCUCUUAACUAACCAAACCGACAUAUAAUAUUAUUUGUACUUUUUUUAUAAAUUAAAAAAAAAAAAAGUUCUACAAUUUUAUUAUUGUUACAUCUCUCUUCACUGUCAAUUUUAGUUUGACUGUGGUCAAUUUUUUUCCAAUAAAAGCUGCAUUUUUUUAGUGUUUUGACUGAUGUGUGAAAAGAGAGGAGUCAAAGAGCUAUUGAUUACUGGAUUGACCAUACCGGUUGCCUCUUUUGUUUCUUACCAAUGCUCAAUAUGUCUCUUUUGGGAAUAUGAAAUGACCAGAAUGCCCAUCACAAUGCUCGAGGAGAUGCAACAAGACCCAAUACCACAAGCCCUGCAUGUUUUUCUGUCAGAAGUGCUGCAGGAAGUGCCUGUGUGUUCCUCCGGGUUAUUAUGGUAAUAAGGCUGUGUGCCCUUGCUACAACAACUGGAAGACCAAGGAGGGAGGACCCAAGUGCCCUUGAGCUUCAACCUCAUCAACAUCAAAUGUUGCUUUCUUAUAUAUUUAUCACUUCCUUCAUUGUUCCAUUUAAGGCACUAGCUUACUUCCCUACUAUUCACAUGUCCUAACUAAAUGAUAUAGCCCCUUGUGGUGGCACUAUGAUGUAUGUUUUCUUAUGAAUUUUGGGAUGUCCUCCCUCUAAGGACCACAUCCGUAGUAUCACUCCUUAGGACUUGCUUUCCUUUCAUGUGAGUGGCUUACUUAUAUCAAUACAUCAUCUGUGGAACUUAUUUCUAGUUUAAUGUCUUAUAAUUUUGGAAUCAAUGGGGGCUUCGGUGAUGCAUUGAAUCAUUGAAUAGAUAAUUGGGUUACUUCAUUCUUAUUACAAAGAGCAAUCUUUUUUCCCUGUCAGAGUAGUGUAGUUUCUUCUUUACAAGGUCCCUAUUUAUUACCAGAUAGGUGUGCAUGUGAUAAGGCAAAAGUGAUGCUCUUGCUC
rnacentral:lncRNA from 1 species